AACGCACGAGACCUGCGGACCUGCGGAAGGAUCAUCAAUGAAUUUCCUUUAAACUUGGUUCUGGUAACUUUUUUUGGCUUUAUGUCAAGAAGACUUUGCCAUUACCUAUCAACCACCAGUCCUUCUCAAGUAAAAACGGUGUUCUCGUUGGAGUUAUUUUCAACAUAGCUCCAGAGCCCCUUUUUACAUAUGAAUGGACUCUUUUUAAGGCUUUGGUGGGAACAAAGAACAAAGAGGACG
rnacentral:misc_RNA from 1 species